ACGUAUCCAACGUUAAAAACCCGUGAACCUUCAUCGCCGCCCAUCAUGGCUAAGUCUUGGAUAAAGCAACAGCAAUCCCUGCACUCGUCGAGAAAUUUGAAAGAGGAGGGACCUCUGUUUGACAGAGCACUAUGGGUUUAAGAGCGCUUGGUAAGGUGGCUUGUUUUUCCCCAAGCAAUCAGGAAGUGUCUGAUUUCGCUUGACGAUCGCUGGAGGUCGAUUACCGACCGGUGGAACAAGUCAGGCUCCCUCCCCAACCCCACUUUCUAUUGCCGCUUCGCGCUAACAACGCCGGGCAUCAAAAAACGUUUAAAAACUGUUA
rnacentral:misc_RNA from 1 species